rnacentral:rRNA from 1 species
GAACGCUGGCGGCGUGCUUAAUACAUGCAAGUCGAACGAAUGGAUGUCUAGCUUGCUAGACUGAAGUUAGUGGCGAACGGGUGAGUAAUACAUAGGCAAUCUGCCCUGAAGUGUGGGAUAGCUAUUGGAAACAGAUGCUAAUACCGCAUAAGAUUACAGUACCGCAUGAUACAGUGAUCAAAGGAGCAAUCCGCUGAAAGAUGGGCUCGCGUCCGAUUAGCUAGUUGGUGGGGUAACGGCCUACCAAGGCGACGAUCAGUAGCCGGACUGAGAGGUUGAACGGCCACAUUGGGACUGAGAUACGGCCCAGACUCCUACGGGAGGCAGCAGUCGGGAAUAUUGCGCAAUGGAGGAAACUCUGACGCAGUGACGCCGCGUAUAGGAAGAAGGUUUUCGGAUUGUAAACUAUUGUCGUGAGGGAAGAAAUUGACAGUACCUCAGGAGGAAGCUCCGGCUAACUAUGUG